CGCUUCUCUGAUGUUAGCGGCGGACGGGUGAGUAACACGUGGAUAACCUACCUAUAAGACUGGGAUAACUUCGGGAAACCGGAGCUAAUACCGGAUAAUAUUUUGAACCGCAUGGUUCAAAAGUGAAAGACGGUCUUGCUGUCACUUAUAGAUGGAUCCGCGCUGCAUUAGCUAGUUGGUAAGGUAACGGCUUACCAAGGCAACGAUGCAUAGCCGACCUGAGAGGGUGAUCGGCCACACUGGAACUGAGACACGGUCCAGACUCCUACGGGAGGCAGCAGUAGGGAAUCUUCCGCAAUGGGCGAAAGCCUGACGGAGCAACGCCGCGUGAGUGAUGAAGGUCUUCGGAUCGUAAAACUCUGUUAUUAGGGAAGAACAUAUGUGUAAGUAACUGUGCACAUCUUGACGGUACCUAAUCAGAAAGCCACGGCUAACUACGUGCCAGCAGCCGCGGUAAUACGUAGGUGGCAAGCGUUAUCCGGAAUUAUUGGGCGUAAAGCGCGCGUAGGCGGUUUUUUAAGUCUGAUGUGAAAGCCCACGGCUCAACCGUGGAGGGUCAUUGGAAACUGGAAAACUUGAGUGCAGAAGAGGAAAGUGGAAUUCCAUGUGUAGCGGUGAAAUGCGCAGAGAUAUGGAGGAACACCAGUGGCGAAGGCGACUUUCUGGUCUGUAACUGACGCUGAUGUGCGAAAGCGUGGGGAUCAAACAGGAUUAGAUACCCUGGUAGUCCACGCCGUAAACGAUGAGUGCUAAGUGUUAAGGGGGUUUCCGCCCCUUAGUGCUGCAGCUAACGCAUUAAGCACUCCGCCUGGGGAGUACGACCGCAAGGUUGAAACUCAAAGGAAUUGACGGGGACCCGCACAAGCGGUGGAGCAUGUGGUUUAAUUCGAAGCAACGCGAAGAACCUUACCAAAUCUUG
rnacentral:rRNA from 1 species